GAGUUCAGUUGGUAGAGCAUGAGAUUCUUAAUCUCAAGGUUGGGAGUUCAAGUCCCACCUUGGGCA